AUCCAGCUGACGAGUUCUAAAUGGGACGAAACGCGCAUCCUGGAU
rnacentral:hammerhead_ribozyme from 1 species